rnacentral:tRNA from 1 species
CGCGGGGUGGGGCUGCCUGGUGCCGCGUCGGGCUCAUAACCCGAAGGUCGUCGGUUCAAAUCCGGCCCCCGCAACCA